UAACAUCAUAGGAUUUCGAUCCUA
rnacentral:siRNA from 1 species